rnacentral:rRNA from 1 species
UACGAAGGGGGCUAGCGUUGCUCGGAAUUACUGGGCGUAAAGCGUGCGCAGGCGGUUCGUCGUGUCUGAUGUGAAAGCCCCGGGCUCAACCUGGGAAUUGCGAUGGAGACUGCAAGGCUUGAAUCUGGCAGAGGGGGGUAGAAUUCCACGUGUAGCAGUGAAAUGCGUAGAGAUGUGGAGGAACACCGAUGGCGAAGGCAGCCCCCUGGGUCAAGAUUGACGCUCAUGCACGAAAGCGUGGGGAGCAAACAGG